UUCACAACAUUAAAUCAACAAUAACCUAUCUGGUAAAUUAUAAAUAUAUCAUUCACUUCCAUCAAAAUUUCUCUUUCCAUUUAGUACAUAAUCUUUUGAACACAUCCUUAAUUUUUUUUGGAGACAUUGUGAUCUAAUCUUCAACUCAGAAACAUUUUGUAGUAAAUAGCACUUUCCUGUACAUACAAUAAAAUGGUACUUUCUUCCAUUCAAUAAAAUAGCACUUUUCAACAUACAAUCUUAUUUAAGUACAAAAAUAGCUGCAGUGCAAUUUAAUAUACAAUGUACUAUUCAUUUUCUACUUAGUAGCAAAAAACCAUGAUAGAAAAAAAGCAUGAUUUAUUUACACCAUAUGGUCAUUUCUGUUUUUGGUGGGGUUAAUUUCGAUUAAUCUUGAGCUGUCUGUGCAGUGUUUUGUUAAAAUUUUAGUCCAUUUUCCCUCUUCUUUUGGUCAUGGUAUUGUCUGUCAUACUUUGAAUUAAUGUUUUUAGAUGCCCUCUUUGUAUCUUGGUUUAUAUAUUCAGAAAGCUAAAUAUAUAUACUGUCCUCAAAUUUAAAAGGAGAUAAAAUAUGAGUAAUAAGUUCUUAAAUAAAUAGUGGAUGCCAUUCUAUGGUUUUGGUAUCAUGAAAUCAAUUUAAAAAAUCAUAACAUUUUCAAUAGAAAAGCCUGAAAUGCCCUAUAAGUCAGACCUUAUAAAAUGCACUUACGCCAAUACAACAUGCGAUUGUUGAGAAAGACUAUAAAUCACUGUGAAUUUGGGAAAUGCUGCAUACACAUAAUGCUUUCAAAAUAACAAAUGCAAAUUGUUUUGUGACAACUAUCCUUUUACAAUUAAACAAAAAGACAACCAAAAAUUAUGAAUUUACAGAAAAUGUGUAAGACGGACUCAUUUCUAUGGCUAUUUUAAAUGACAAUCACAGUAUAUCUAACUCAUAUAAAACAUUUCAUGUAACUUUAAAUGAAGAGAUAUCAAAAUAAAAUUAAUCGUAGCAACAUCUCUGACAUGCUUGGAAAAAGCAAAAUCAAAAACAAAAGUUUGCAAGGCCUAAUUUUUCACACCCUGUGUGUACUUGCAAAAUGCCUUUAAUCACAGUUGGUGUAAAAGUAGAAGAGAAAAAUUUACUUGUUGACUUUUAAAGUCUUUAGUGUUAACAGUCUAUAUAGUUUGUGGUUACAAACAGUUAUCUAUUAUUUACCAAAUUUGCACCAUUCUCAAAAGAACAAAAUCAUAUAUUUGUUUUCCAAGAAAAAAUACUUGUAAACAAACAAAACAAAACAAAUAUCUUACCAACAAAACAAAGGAUAACAUAAUUAACAUAAUUAACAAACUCCUUGUGGUGUAAAUACAUACAGAAGCACUUAAACAAGAUCUGAUUGCAAGUCAUAUGCUUUAUGCUCGACAAAAUUUCUUGGUAAGUAUUAUGCUUAAAAAAUAAAUAAAUAAGAAAAAGAGAGUGAAAUAAACUAGAAUAGACAUUUAAAUUUAAUGCAUUGUGUAGUUCUAAUAAUUCAAUGCUGCUUUUGUUACUCCUUUCUUUUUACAUGUAGUAAGUGUAUUGAGAAAACUGACUAUAUAAGAAAGUUGAACUAUGAAUGAAAGAUUAGAAUGCAAAUAUAGGUAUAACUGCAGUGAUACAAGAAGAUAGUAAUAUGACAUGACACAUUUUUGCUAGGUUUUCUAUGUGCAUUUUUCUUGUCCCUAAAUUUGAUCUUCCUCAAAGAUUAAAGCUGCCAAAGAGAUAUUUUCAUAAUUUUAGUCACAAAUUUGUGAAAACACUUCCUGCUAGGAA
rnacentral:lncRNA from 1 species